rnacentral:rRNA from 1 species
UACGUAGGGGGCAAGCGUUGUCCGGAUUUAUUGGGCGUAAAGAGCGUGUAGGCGGCCAGGUAGGUCCGUUGUGAAAACUCGAGGCUCAACCUCGAGACGUCGGCGGAAACCCUCUGGCUAGAGUCCGGAAGAGGAGAGUGGAAUUCCUGGUGUAGCGGUGAAAUGCGCAGAUAUCAGGAAGAACACCCGUGGCGAAGGCGGCUCUCUGGGACGGUACUGACGCUGAGACGCGAAAGCGUGGGAGCGAACAGG